rnacentral:SRP_RNA from 1 species
CCCGGAAGAGAGCAGGGCAACCUUUGAUGCCAUGCUCAAGGAGGUCCCUGGCGGCACCCACGGCGGCGAGGGUACGAUGGGCUUUAUCCACUACGG